UACGUAGGGUGCAAGCGUUAAUCGGAAUUACUGGGCGUAAAGCGUGCGCAGGCGGUUUUGUAAGACUGUCGUGAAAUCCCCGGGCUCAACCUGGGAAUUGCGAUGGUGACUGCAAGGCUAGAGUUUGGCAGAGGGGGGUAGAAUUCCACGUGUAGCAGUGAAAUGCGUAGAGAUGUGGAGGAACACCGAUGGCGAAGGCAGCCCCCUGGGCCAAAACUGACGCUCAGGCACGAAAGCGUGGGGAGCAAACAGG
rnacentral:rRNA from 1 species